UACGGGGGGUGCGAGCGUUGUCCGGAAUCACUGGGCGUAAAGGGCGCGUAGGUGGCCUGAUAAGGGUGUGGUGAAAGUCCGGGGCUCAACCUCGGAUCGGCCGUGGCGACUCGUGGGCUGGAGCACUGUAGAGGCGGGUGGAAUUCCGGGUGUAGCGGUGGAAUGCGUAGAGAUCCGGAAGAACACCAGUGGCGAAGGCGGCCCGCUGGGCAGUGGCUGACGCUGAGGCGCGACAGCGUGGGGGAGCAAACAGG
rnacentral:rRNA from 1 species